GGGCAAGAGUCUCAGGGUCACCGCGAGAUUCCAGCCUUGUGAUCUCGGACAGCUUCCCUAGUCUGAACUGGAAUGCGGACUCUUUGUCUGUAAAUGGUUAACAGGUCUACAGCCCCCGAGGGCCGCUUCCUGCCUCUCGCAGUGUGGCUGGGAGCAGAGGGCGCAGCCUGGGGUUCUGCCCCAUCCACUCACCACUUCACAGGCACCGCAGUCCCACUGGGACAGGAGCUUCGUGUGCAAAACUCCUUGCCAAGCCUCCAGCCUCUUCUCACUCACUCAUCGCCUCAGGCCCAGCUGCCCGGAUCUUCAGAACUGCCCGGAGUCUGGACUUCAAGGUCCUUUGACGUCACUUCCUGUAGGACAGCUUGUCCCCAAGCUGCAACUCUUCUACAGGGCCACUGUUUGGGAUUCAGAGCUGAGAGGAAACCUCAGAAGUCCCAGAUCUUUUCUGCUACCCAUCUACGGGAGGAGCAAUGGCCCCGCCAGCAGAUGUGGGGUGUGAGCUCUGCAGGCCUGGACAAUUCCCAGACCAGCCAUGGACGGGGUCCCUUGCCCCCAGCACCCGCUCGUUCCUGGCAGCCCUGUGACACCGUGGAGCAGGGCAACGGUCGGGAGUCCUGGCUGCAGGAGGUCCCUGUGAGCAUGAAGUCCUCAACGGGCAAGAAAAGCAGCUCCAGCAGGGUGUCAGAAGUCCACGCCCAAGGCAAGGAAGCAGUUCACAGCCGGGAAAACUCUUGCGGUCACAGCUUGUAAAAAAGGCAGCUUCAGAGCAAGCCCAAACGAACAAAACCAGGCAGUCUCACUGAACGCUAUCCCCCCCACCAGGAAGCCAGCCUGGGCUGCUGGAAGACAGCCGAAGUCUGUGCCCACGGGGACUCACUGGGAGGGAGCCAGACAGCUCCAAGUGCCCCAAAUCUACCCACAUUCCCAGCCAUCAAGCCUUCCCUUCUUUUGUUUUGUUUUGUUUUUUUGUUUGUUUGUUUGUUUCCGGUACCGGAGAUCGAACUCAUGACCUUGCACUUGCUGGGCAGGCGCUGUGCCACUGAGCUAAAUCCCUAGCCCCCAAGCCUUCCCUUCUCCAUAGAUGCCGGCCCUGGGUGUGCCCCCGACUGUGGGGGAUGGGGUCACUUAGCACUUUGGUUUUCAGAGGCAUUCUCUGCGGAAUCCCAGGACCUCGGGGAGGUACGCAAAGAGUUCUUAGGGACAGAGGGCGUGGCUGUGGUCCCCACCCUCACCAAACUGGAGCAGUUUUUUCCUGCUUAAAGUUUUGGAGCUUCCACUUAUAAUAUUUUUUGAAGGGCUCAGUCACUUAAAAGUAAAGGCUAUAGCUACUGAUUCCAGGCAGAUAGGGCAGUUACAAUUUCCCUGUUGCUCCUGCUAAGUACAACCCAAAUUCCUGUGCAUUGUAUGCAGAAUAAAUGUAGCCAGGCUCUGCAACCUGGAGAGAAGGCGGACACACCAGGGCCGGAAGGACACCAGGAAUUGCAGGGCGAUGAGUUCCUUGGGUUCUGUCUGUACUCUGUGCUUCUCAAAAUUGGAGCCGAGGAAGCUGCAACAGGCACAGGUUAAAAAAAAAAAAAAAAGUCCCACAUAAAGCAUGCUGUCUUUAGCCAAAGGGAAAUUUUAAAAGGAAAUCUAGCAAGACAGGAGCAUUGAACCUGCUUUCCUCGCGCCGGACCCCACAGGAAAACACUGCAGUCCCCACUCCCACCCACCCCAGCAGAGGUGACAAGGGAGCCUGCAUUUCCCUCCUGCUGAGCAGCACUGGGGUCCCCACUUCCCCUUCCCACAGAAGUGGGGUUCAGAGGAGCCUGGAGGAGAGUCAGGAUCUUUACCAUGGCUUCCUGGUAUGGGAUAACCACACCACGGUGUUAGUGAGGACCUCUGGGAUUCCUGUCCCACCUAGCAGUAGCGACGAGCACCUUCUCGCGUACCAAGGGGAUGAGUGGAGACCUGGGCCUGUUGCUGCAUCUCACGCCAACAAGGCAGCAUCCUCCCAGCCCACCCACAGCCGAUGGCAUCAAGAUGGGCCAACUGGACCCAAAGGCUUCAAAGAACAUCGCCAUAAAGAAAGAUAAACUGGAGUCAUUUGUAGGAAGAUGAAUGCUCCUUGAGACUAUAAUGUGAAGGGAAAUAAAUCAGACACACAAGCUUCAAUAUCGCAUCAUUUCUCCUAUGUGAGAAACCCAAAUUAUAAAUAGAGAGGAAAAUAAAAGAGAGAUAACGGGACGGAGGGAGACAGGUCUUUCUCAAAGGGGAAGGAGACCAAGGGAGGAGAGAGGGGGCAGAGGGGAGGGAAAGGGGGUGAAUAAGGAAUUAAGAUGCAUUGUGUGCAUGUGCCGACUCCACACAAGGGAUGUUAUCCUCAUGGACUCAGACACGUACUAAAAAAAAUA
ensembl:lincRNA